rnacentral:rRNA from 1 species
AUUGAACGCUGGCGGCAGGCCUAACACAUGCAAGUCGAACGAGUGGCGGACGGGUGCGUAAUGUCUGGGAAACUGCCCGAUGGAGGGGGAUAACUACUUGAAACGGUAGCUAAUACCGCAUACCAUCGGAUGUGCCCAGAUGGGGUGAGCUCGUAGGUGGGGUAACGGCUCACCUGGGCGAAGAUCCCUAGCUGGUCUGAGAGGAUGACCAGCCACACUGGAACUGAGACACGGGCAAGACUCCUACGGGAGGCAGCAGUGGGGAAUAUUGCAAAAUGGGCGCAAGCCUGAUGCAGCCAUGCCGCGUGUAUGAAGAAGGCCUUCGGGUUGUAAAGUACUUUCAGCGAGGAGGCGUUACUCGCAGAAGAAGCACCGGCUAACUCCGUGCCAGCAGCCGCGGUAAUUC